GACGCUUGGGGCGUGCCUGCCAUCCAAGGACCACAGCCUCCUACCAAGAUCAGCACUGGAACCAAAAAUACGUCUCCAGAGACCUCCUCCUGUGACUCCCCAGGGACUGAGGUGAGGCUGGCCAGCCCGCGGCUCCCCGUGGCAUUCCUUCUGCCUUUCCUGCAGGUGGACCAAGGUACCUGAACCAGAGAACUCCUCUGCAUUUGCACUCAUCUGUGCGUCGCUGCCAACUGGGAGACACAGCCUACAUCUGGACCUCGAAGGAUGAGCCACUGAAGGAGAAGUGGAAGGGGCCCUGUGCUGCUCUGCUGACCACAUACACUGUAGUGAAGCUGGGUGGGAUCAAUUCCUGGAUCCAUCACACCCGAGGGAAUGAUGCCCCUCCCAAGGGGCAGGGGACAUGGACACCUACAAGAGGACUUGUGUUAAAAUUCUCUAGAAAUCAAUUUUAAUUAAUGACUUAUGCUUGGGAAUUGGGGAAUACUUAUUUAGAGCUCAGUUGCCCUCAGGGACUAUCAGUAUUAUUCUGUGUGGUAACUGUAUUACCCCUAGUAGUUUUACCUUGCUUGCAUUUAAAAAAAUUAAAAACAGAGGUCAUGCUCAUCUGGAAGAGUAUGGGUAUGUUGAACUUAACAAUAUUAACAUAAUACUAAUGACUGAUUUGGGAACAUAUGCUGUGGACACAUCUCACAUACCUUGUGAC